CAAAAAUGUUUAUUUGUAGUUUGGAUUCUUUGUGGAUGUCAGUUGUUUGUUCAUAUAAUGAUGAUGGGCCCCAUUAUUAUAUGAGCCACCUGAAGGUGGUCAACUGAUACUCACAGAAGAUCUACUCUGCACUAAACAUUCUUUAUGUGAUGAUAUAACUGGGGUAUUGAAGUGGUCCCUUUCCCUUUGUUCGAAGUUGCGUAUAUAAAGGAAUGAAGUAGCUACAAAAGAAGAUAGAAAAAGUUUGGUUAUAGCCGACAUCAUCAAUAGAAAAGAGGUGCAGAUUAUUCAGAUUGUGGUGUAGACCUGCAAUAAAUACGACCUACGACUUCGUGUCACGUGUCCUAAACCUUUGAUCGCUUCGGUAAACGGUCCAACAGCUGGAUUUUGUCUUUCCCUUCUCGCAUUGUGUGAUAUAGUCUUUGCUUCAGAAAAGUGCCUGCGAGACACAAAGACGUUGAUGGUCAGCAGUAAUAUGAAGAACUUGAGUUUAAAAAUCACGAGGAAUGCAAUUUGUUUCAAAAGUACAUCAGCAACGAUGAUAUUGUGGAUGGCAUCGUAAGUAGAUGGUGGAUGAGCUUACAGGAAUGACUUACCAUCCAGUUUACCUAUGUACAAAUAUUAUGUUGCAUAUGUACAAAGGCGAGUGUCUUCGGUAAUUUGAAUUUCCCAAAGGAAAUAACUUACGCCAAGUUUCGUCUCGCUAUCAUUGCCAUGAUACGAAUUCCCCAGAAGGUGGUGAUGGAUGGAACAACUCUUGAAAUACAGAAAACUUUCUUACCAAAUAAUUUAAGAGAGUCUGAUACUGGAUUGCUAGAUGGAAGAUAAGUAUUUUUUGAAGUUUAUCUGUAAUAUAUAAUAUAUACAGGUCUGCUAAUUAGUAAAUACGAGUGUUCAUCUACGUA